AAGCAGGCUCCAUGCUGGGAGCCCGAUGUGGGAAUCGAUCCAGGGACUCCAGGAUCACGCCCUGGGCCAAAGGCAAGCGCUAAACCGCUGAGCCACCCAGGGAUUCCCCCAAGUGAAACUAAUUUAAACACAUGUAUGUACACUCCUUGAGGAUCUGGCUUUGCUGAGUUGCACAGCUGUUACAGGGACAAUGGAUUGUAGAAUUGCUUUCUCAAGAUUUACUGCUUCCUUUCCCUUUAUCUCAAGCCCUGAUGUACAGUCAACAUGUCCUCUGAAGUAACAACUGUCCCAUCUGGCUGAGAAGUGAUGGACACGGCUCCUUAAGCACACCGUACUCUCCGUUCUUGGCACCUCCAUGCCCGAAAGAUAUCAACAAAUUGGAUGGAAUUCCAAGAACAGCCAGAAAAAUGAUUAAAGAGAUGGAGGCACUGAAUUAUGAGGAAAGAUGAAAGGACAAAAUCUGUCUAGCUUGGCGAAGCAAUGACUGAGGCGCCGUGUGAUAACUGUCUACAAGUGUUUGAAGAAAUAUAAACACCAAGAGAGGAGAGGGCACUUUUUAGGAUGGUCUACAGGAUAAGCAGGGCAAAAAAAAUAGAACUGAAGAAAUGGGAGAGAUUUCCUAAGAGGGGGAGCUUGCUCAUCAGUUGCAGAUUCUGAUAAACAGCAAAACGAAGUCUAAAGAGAACAACAUGUCUCUCACGCUUGUAGGUUGCAAUCAAGAUUGACCUACCUUGAGCAAAUGGCAAUCUGUUUGCAUGUACACAUGUACUAUCUGUGCUUUUCCAGCUUACCAAGUGCUUCCAUAUUCACCUUCUCAUUAAAUUAACAAAACGGCCUUAUGUCAUUACCUGUUAACCUUAACUAAGAAAAAAAGGAAGUUUUCUUCUUCAUAGGUGUUGAGGCAAACAGGAGAUUUGCAUGCAAAACCUAGAUAACUCUGAGCUGACCAUCUGUUUGCUCUUACAACACUCUGUCUUCCAGGAUUCCCAUACAAUGUUAGACCAUGCUUACAAUCUAGAAAAAGUAUUUAGGGUUAUAUUUAAACCAACAGUCCUCAACCUACCUGUUCUCUUGCUGUUCUUUGCUCAAAUAGAUUGGUUAUAAAGUAGUUACCUGAGCAAAAUUGUGUAAGUAUUCUCUUAAUGCUCUAGAUGACCCAGGGUGAAAUGAUUCCUGUUUGGUUACUUUCUUCCCUUGGGUAAUGGGCUCCAUCGUGCCUUUAGCCCCUCAUUCUGUCAGCUGCAGCCCUCAGAUCAUUCAUUAAUGCAAAAAUGUUGAGAUUCACUUAACAUGAUACCCCUACACCUUGCAAGAAUAUUAGUUGUACUUCGUGAACCAAAUUUUUUAAGGAGAUGUAGUUCAAAUGUGCUAACAGAUGUCAUUUGUGUUUUGUUGAUGGGUUCCAGGUUGUGAAUCCUUUCAGCCACCUACCACAUGUGAGGUGUCUGAUGGAGAUCUACUUAGAGAAUAAUCCAGAAGACACCUCAAAAAAAAGGUGGAAAGGAAAACAGAAGGAAGGAAGGAAGUAA